rnacentral:rRNA from 1 species
GAUGAACGCUAGCUACAGGCUUAACACAUGCAAGUCGAGGGGUAACAAGAGAAAAGCUUGCUUUUCUUGUUGACGACCGGCGCACGGGUGAGUAACGCGUAUCCAACCUGCCCAUAACUAGGGAAUAACCUUGCGAAAGUAAGACUAAUACCCUAUAAUUUCCUUUGACGGCAUCUGACGAGGAAUAAAGAUUUAUCGGUUAUGGAUGGGGAUGCGUCUGAUUAGCUUGUUGGCGGGGUAACGGCCCACCAAGGCAACGAUCAGUAGGGGUUCUGAGAGGAAGGUCCCCCACAUUGGAACUGAGACACGGUCCAAACUCCUACGGGAGGCAGCAGUGAGGAAUAUUGGUCAAUGGGCGGAAGCCUGAACCAGCCAAGUAGCGUGCAGGAUGACGGCCCUAUGGGUUGUAAACUGCUUUUAUACAGGAAUAAAGUUAGCCACGUGUGGUUAUUUGUAGGUACUGUAUGAAUAAGGACCGGCUAAUUCCGUGCCAGCCGCCGCAGUAA